rnacentral:rRNA from 1 species
UACGGAGGGUGCAAGCGUUGUCCGGAAUCACUGGGCGUAAAGGGCGCGUAGGCGGCUCAUGAAGGCUGUGGUGAAAGUCCGGGGCUCAACCUCGGAUCGGCCGUGGCGACUCGUGGGCUGGAGCACUGUAGAGGCGGGUGGAAUUCCGGGUGUAGAGGUGAAAUUCGUAGAUAUUCGGAAGAACACCAGUGGCGAAGGCGACUCACUGGACACGUAUUGACGCUGAGGUGCGAAAGCGUGGGGAGCAAACAGG